AACAAUUAAGAAGUCUGCCAACUGAAUCUUCCAGAAGCGCGAUGCAGCGCCGUGUCUCACUUCUGUGAUGCUUUAGAACAGUACACAGCAUUCGGCAGCAUGCAGCAUAUAGCUUUAUGCAAAAUUCUCUAUCCACGACGCUUCUUUCGCUUCCAGGAACCUCAGUUUCUUCGAAAGUCGAGCCUCCUGUAUAAUUAGAACAAAGCAGAA
rnacentral:misc_RNA from 1 species